CAGAUCAUCUCCAGAAAAAAGCAAGCUAGCUUCUCUUCUGCUCAUAUUCUGGAAUGUGUCCUUUGAAGUAUAGAUCUCCACUAAGAGCUUUCAUGGGGAUCAAGAAUCGGACCUUCGCCAGCAACUUGUCUCAGUAGGCGAAAAAAUGAAUGUCAAGUAGAUGCUUUUACUCAGGAGAUGAUUACUUGGAGCUAGCUGCU